GGGUCAGCCAUAGCUCAGCGGUUACUUCCAGUCAAACUUUGUUCAUCCUUACCCAGGAUCGAUCCCCCCCGCGGGCGCUAUCUGACCUUUUA
rnacentral:vault_RNA from 1 species